GGCGCGCGAGCGACCGGUCGCUGCCGCAAGGCAGAGGAAAGUCCGGACUCCACAGGGCAGGGGAUCCGUCCGUCAAGGACGGAAGACGCGGGGAAAUCCCGCGUGAUGGAAAGUGCCGCAGAAAACAGACAGCCCCGCGAGGGGUGAUGGUGAAAUGGCGAGGCAAGAGCUCACCGGGACGGCUGAAACGACGUCCGCACGGCAAACCCUCCCCGGAGCAAGAUCGAAUAGGCGGUCGAACGGGGUGCCCCUCCGGUUGGCGAUCGGCGACGAUUGCCAUCAGACCGCGGGUUGAUCGCUCAGAUGAAUGAUCGGAGUUCCCGCAAGGGGAUGAACAGAAUCCGGCUUACUCGCCACGCGCCGCCU
rnacentral:RNase_P_RNA from 1 species